rnacentral:rRNA from 1 species
AGCGAACGCUGGCGGCAUGCUUAACACAUGCCAGUCGCACGGGCAGCAAUGUCAGUGGCGGACGGGUGAGUAACGCGUAGGAACGUGUCCUGAGGUGGGGGACAACCCCGGGAAACUGGGGCUAAUACCGCAUAUGGGCUGAGGCCCAAAGCCGAGAGGCGCCUUUGGAGCGGCCUGCGUCCGAUUAGGUAGUUGGUGGGGUAAAGGCCUACCAAGCCUGCGAUCGGUAGCUGGUCUGAGAGGACGACCAGCCACACUGGGACUGAGACACGGCCCAGACUCGUAGGGGAGGAGGGAGGGGGAAUUUUUGAAAAAGGGGCGAAAGCCUGACCCACCAAGCCCGGGGGGGAAAAGAGGGUCUUGGGAUCGAAACCCCCUUGGGAGGGGGAGGAUGAUGAGGGUCCCGAAAAAAAAACCCCCGCCUAACUUCGUG